rnacentral:lncRNA from 1 species
AGAAGCAGGAUUCUGUGGAGAAAGCCCUAGAGAGACCUAGUAAGGAGAGAGAUGUUUAGACGACUGUUUUACAUUACACCACUUUGUAAAAUAUGUGCUAUUUUAGCUCCAAGCUUGAGUCCAGUUAGAGCUGCAUCAGGACUUAGGAAACAGCAUGUAUUUUAAUGCCCUGUGAACAGGAAUAGCUGAUAACUAGUACAUUUAAAUGUGAAAAGCAGAACUUUUCUCUGGGGGAUGUAUUAUUUUUUUCGUAUGGAUUUAGUCUUCAUAGUUUACGUUACAGCUAUAGCAUUCCACUGGCAGUCAUUUAUCUAAUGACUUACAUCUUUCAGGCUGCGGAAAAUGCAGGAUAAGAGAGAGAGAGAGAGAAAGUGAUUGUUGGGGGGAGUUCUUUUUAAUUUGCAUUUCAGGGCUGUACCUAAGAUCAUAAAUAUACAGAAGUUAGCACCUACCUAUCAUCCCUCAGCUAUCUUAUUUCCAGAGCAUUACGAUACGAAAACAAUGGGAUUAGGGCACUAUAUGCUUCAAUCCCUAUCACCCCCGAUCCCCAAAGUAAGUCUAAAUAGAGCUGGAUUUGCUUCUGGUGUGGCUGAAAUUAAGACAAAGGGGUAUGUCUGAGAUAAUUUUUUUUUUUCCCUGUAAAGCUUAAUCUUAGAAAAUGCCUGUCUGUGCUAGAGAAAUGGAUUGCACGUAACAUGACAACCGUCUUUUAUAGAGGCAAACCAGACUCACUGGGCUCUAAUGCUGUAAAGGAAAAAGCUUAACAGGUAUAAUUAACCUGUGGAAUGCCCUACCACAAGAUAUUCUUGAAGUACUGGCACUAAUACCGUCUGUCUUCAUAACUCAGGGCAUCAGCGGCCUACUAGCUGAGAGCAAGAAGCAAUCUACUGUGUCCCUGCAUGACGUGACUCCGCUGAAUGAAUUAAGAGGUCGCGGUGACUUUUGGAGCAAUGGUCAACUGCUGGAGUUGGAGGAGGUUUGGGUUUCUGUGGGAAAACGUGCAGUUAUUUGCAGAAAUGAGCAAGAGGGAGCAGCACAGGAUCUGCCACGAGGAUCUCCCAGGCUGCUGGUCUGCGUGAGGAGGAGAGGAAGGCCUGCACACACGAGGAAGGCUGUGAAGGAGAAAGACUGGGAUGCCCAACAAAGGAAAUUUCAGCUGCAAAGAGUUCCAUCAGGCACGCUAGAACUUGUGAUGAUUUGGGGCUCAAUAACACCUACAGAACAGGCCCAUUAGCAGGAUGUUGUGCAAUAUGGUGCUUGUCAUCUGUUUCAAAGACACAGUGAUGAGAUACAGGUAUGCCAGAUGGAUAAACCUAGUGUGACUAAUUAUUGUGUAUUUGCCUUUAAUUAUUAUCAUUUAUUACCAGAGAAAAGACAAUAGAGGUUCCCAGACUCAGAAAGGAAUGUCGGCAGAAGGGGAUUUUUUUUUUUUUUCAUGAGACUGGUACAUCAGCAAGAAAAGUUUUCUUUCUGGGGAGAAAUAUAAGCAAAUGUCAAGAAAAGAGGAGUCAGUGUGACCCGUGCAAUGCUCUCCUUUCCUUGACAUGCUUGAGAAUCAGAUAUCUCACAGGUAAUACAUAGUUUCUUUGUAAUUGUAGAACAGCUUUUCCCUUGCUUGAAUGUGCAUGCAGGACAUAAUGAAUGUAUGGGGAUCCUUUAGUGAUUUGCAGGGAUAUCUACCCUGGGAUGCAGUGUAGCCUUUGGUCCUCUUUCUGGUCAUGUCCUGGGAGGUGAGGACAGCCUGAGCUCUGCCCUUUUGGCACUGGAAGACGGGGGGGUGAGCUGGUCUGGGUACAAAUGGGCAUCCAGGUGAAUGGGAGAUGAGGCUUUCCAUUGCUCUGUAAGCCAGAUGGACCUCAACUGCUUCAUGGUGAAGUUAAACCCACAAGUCCCGAAGCUGCGAUUUUUGUAUAAAAUAUAGGCUCAGGGUAGAAAAUAUCUUCAGAAGGUUUCUGUACCAUCAGGCUGAGCCCUCAGACCUUUGGAUGGAAUUUGCCUCCCUGUCCAAACCUGAUAUACAGGGUCUCUACAGUGUUUGUUGUAGACGUAGACUUUCCACUUUUAGGUAUUACAGCCUUAUUACCAAUAAGAUCCUCUCAAAAACAAAACAAAACAAAACAACAGCAACAAAAAACACGUAUAAGACAAAUAUUUUAAAAUAAAGGGGAUAUCUCCAUUGCA